AUCAAUCAAUCAAUCAAUUUAUUAUUUAAAGUGCAAAAUCACCAUGGUACAUGGUCUCAAUACACUUUACAAAAUAUCAAGUACAAUAAUAACAAUAUUAAAACAAUAUUAAAACACCAUAGGAAUAUGAUAAAACAGUUAAAAAUUAGUUUAAACCAAAGUAUUGAGUAAAAAGGUAUGUUUUAAGACGGGACUUGAAAAUUGCAGGAGGAUUUUAGCAAUGUUGCGCAGAUGAAAGAAGGCCGACCUGGUGGUUUCCUUGAUGUGAGUCCGGAAAGUCA